rnacentral:rRNA from 1 species
GAUGAACGCUAGCGGCAGGCCUAACACAUGCAAGUCGAACGGUAACAGGUGUUGCAAUACAUGCUGACGAGUGGCGCACGGGUGCGUAACACGUAUGUAACGUGCCUCUAACUGGGGAAUAGCUUCGAGAAAUCGAAAUUAAUGUCCCAUAGUAAUUCGGUUCGGGAUCGAACUGAAUUUAAGACUCCGGUGGUUAGAGAUAGACAUGCGGCCUAUUAGCUUGUUGGUGAGGUAACGGCUCACCAAGGCUACGAUAGGCAGUGGGCCUCCGAGGGUUUACCCCCACACUGGAACUGAGACACGGUCCAGACUCCUACGGGAGGCAUCAGUGAGGAAUAUUGGUCAAUGGUCGCAAGACUGAACCCGCCAUGCCGCGUGCAGGAUGAAUGCCCUGUGGGUUGUAAACUGCUUUUCUCUGGGAAUAAACCCCCCUACGUGUAGAGGGCUGAAGGUACCAGAGGAAUAAGGACCGGCUAACUUCGUGCCAGCAGCCGCCGUAA